rnacentral:rRNA from 1 species
GACGAACCUUGCAAACGUUAUUCGGAAUCACUGGGCUUAAAGGGUGCGUAGGCUGUGCAGAAAGUUGGGUGUGAAAUACCUCGGCUUAACCGAGGAAUUGCGCCCAAAACUACUGUGCUCGAGGAAGAUAGAGGUGAGCGGAACUUAGGGUGGAGCGGUGAAAUGCGUUGAUAUCCUAAGGAACACCGGUGGCGAAAGCGGCUCACUGGAUCUCAACUGACGCUGAGGCACGAAAGCCAGGGGAGCGAACGGG